CACGUGACUCCAAUCCAAACCCACUUCCCACGUAAUCCAUCAUCAUCUUCAGUUCUUCACUACACAAAUUCUGUGGAGACCCACUGACCAAUUUCCCUCACAAAUCAUCUACAGAUGGCUUCAUCUACUCUUAUCUGUGACACAGAGCAAUGGAAGGACUUGAAGGCCCAUGUCGACGACAUUAAAAAGACACAUUCACGUGAAUUGAUGAGCGACACUGAGCGAUGCAACUCCAUGAUGGUUGAAUUUGAUGGGAUACUAUUGGACUACUUGGUACUCACGGCAAUGAGCUACCCUCGAAACAAUGGAUAAGCUAUUCAAAUUGGCAGAGGUGCGUUGAACAAUUUACUUUCUUUUUCUUCUGGGGUAAUGUCAGAUCAUGUAUCCAUUCCAUUCUACCAAACCAAACCAAACAUAGCCAAAUGCCCUUAUCUUUUCCAUUCUUAUCAUUUGCAUCGAUGAGGAACUCUAAUCUCUGUAUUUUUCCUUCAUUAUCUAGAAGAAAGUUGGAAUUCUUCUUGGUAAA